AGCGAACGCUGGCGGCAGGCCUAACACAUGCAAGUCGAGCGCCGUAGCAAUACGGAGCGGCAGACGGGAGAGUAACACGUGGGAACGUACCCUUCAGUACGGAACAACCAAGGGAAACUUUGGCUAAUACCGUAUACGUCCGUAAGGAGAAAGAUUUAUCGCUGAAGGAUCGGCCCGCGUCUGAUUAGCUAGUUGGUGAGGUAACGGCUCACCAAGGCGACGAUCAGUAGCUGGUCUGAGAGGAUGAUCAGCCUCACUGGGACUGAGACGCGGCACAGACUCCUACGGGAGGCAGCAGUGGGGAAUAUUGGACAAUGGGCGCAAGCCUGAUCCAGCCAUGCCGCGUGGGUGAUGAAAGCCCUAGGGUUGUAAAGCCCUUUCGGCGGGGAAGAUAAUGACGGUACCCGCAGAAGAAGCCCCGGCUAACUUCGUGCCAGCCGCCGCCGUAA
rnacentral:rRNA from 1 species